UUCUUUAAGUUUAAAUUUAAGGUAUUUUCUGCUCUAUGAUUUAUUAUUAAAUGGCUGCAGUAUUUUGACUGUACAAAGGUAGCAUAAUCAUUAGUUUCUUAAUUAGGAACUUGUAUGAAUGAAUAUAUGAGAAAUUUAUUUUAUUUUUUUUAUUUUUUGAAUUUUAUUUUUAUGUUAAAAAGCUUAAUUAAUUUUUAGGGACGAGAAGACCCUGUAGAACUUUCAGUUUUUUAUAUUAUUUUAAUUUCAGUAAUUUAAUUUAAUUUAAUAUAUUAAACUUUUAGUUGGGGUGAUUAAUAAAUUUAACUUUAUUUAUUUCUCUCAUUAUGUAAAUGUUUAUUUUGAUCCUUAAUAAUUAAGAUUAUAAGAUAAGUUACCUUAGGGAUAACAGCGUUAUUUUAAUGGAAAGUUCAUAUUUAUAUUGAAGUUUGCGACCUCGAUGUUGAAUUAAGGAAAAAUUAUGGUGCAGUUGCUUUAAUAAUAAGUCUGUUCGACUUUUAAAUUCUUACA
rnacentral:rRNA from 1 species